rnacentral:rRNA from 1 species
GAUGAACGCUGGCGGCGUGCCUAAUACAUGCGAGUCGAGCGAACGGACGAGAAGCUUGCUUCUCUGAUGUUAGCGGCGGACGGGUGAGUAACACGUGGAUAACCUACCUAUAAGACUGGGAUAACUUCGGGAAACCGGAGCUAAUACCGGAUGAUAUUUUGAACCGCAUGGUUCAAAAGUGAAAGACGGUCUUGCUGUCACUUAUAUAUGGAUCCGCGCUGCAUUAGCUAGUUGGUAAGGUAACGGCUUACCAAGGCAACGAUGCAUAGCCGACCUGAGAUGGUGAUCGGCCACACUGGAACUGAGACACGGUCCAGACUCCUACGGGAGGCAGCAGUAGGGAAUCUUCCGCAAUGGGCGAAAGCCUGACGGAGCAACGCCGCGUGAGUGAUGAAGGUCUUCGGAUCGUAAAACUCUGUUAUUAGGGAAGAACAUAUGUGUAAGUAACUGUGCACAUCUUGACGGUACCUAAUCAGAAAGCCACGGCUAACUACGUG